AACGAACGCUGGCGGCAGGCCUAACACAUGCAAGUCGAGCGGACCCUUCGGGGUUAGCGGCGGACGGGUGAGUAACGCGUGGGAACGUGCCCUUUGCUUCGGAAUAGCCCUGGGAAACUGGGAGUAAUACCGGAUACGCCCUUUUGGGGAAAGAUUUAUCGGCGAAGGAUCGGCCCGCGUUGGAUUAGGUAGUUGGUGGGGUAAUGGCCUACCAAGCCGACGAUCCAUAGCUGGUUUGAGAGGAUGAUCAGCCACACUGGGACUGAGACACGGCCCAGACUCCUACGGGAGGCAGCAGUGGGGAAUCUUAGACAAUGGGGGAGACCCUGAUCUAGCCAUGCCGCGUGAGCGAUGAAGGCCUUAGGGUUGUAAAGCUCUUUCACCGGGGAAGAUAAUGACGGUACCCGGAGAAGAAGCCCCGGCUAACUCCGUG
rnacentral:rRNA from 1 species